UUUCCGUAGGUGAACCUGCGGAAGGAUCAUUAUAGUAUAACCGAGGUGCGAGGGCUGUCGCUGACCCGAAAGGUCGUGCACGCCCGAGUGCCCUCACACGCAUCCAUCUCACCCCUAUGUGCACCACCGCGUGGGUCCCCCUUUGGCUUGUUCGGAGGGGGGCUUACGUUUUCACACAAACUUUGUAUGCAGUGUAGAAUGUAUUUUUUGUUUUUGCGAUCACGCAAUCAAUACAACUUUCAACAACGGAUCUCUUGGCUCUC
rnacentral:misc_RNA from 1 species